GAUGAACGCUGGCGGCGUGCUUAACACAUGCAAGUCGAACGAAGCAAUUGGAGUGCUUGCACUUUGAUUGACUGAGUGGCGGACGGGUGAGUAACGCGUGAGCAACCUGCCUUUCAGAGGGGGACAACAGUUGGAAACGACUGCUAAUACCGCAUAACGUAUCGAAGAGGCAUCUCUUUGAUACCAAAGAUUAUAUCGCUGAAAGAUGGGCUCGCGUACGAUUAGCUAGUUGGUGGGGUAACGGCCUACCAAGGCGACGAUCGGUAGCCGGACUGAGAGGUUGAACGGCCACAUUGGGACUGAGACACGGCCCAGACUCCUACGGGAGGCAGCAGUGGGGGAUAUUGCGCAAUGGGGGAAACCCUGACGCAGCAACGCCGCGUGAAGGAAGACGGUUUUCGGAUUGUAAACUUCUUUUAUAAGGGACGAAAUUGACGGUACCUUAUGAAUAAGCUCCGGCUAACUACGUG
rnacentral:rRNA from 1 species